rnacentral:snoRNA from 1 species
AUCCUUUUGUAGUUCGUUAAGUGUGAUGAUUGGGUAUUCACGCCAAUGUGUGACACGUGCCUUCCUCAAACUUUGUUACGAUCUCGGCACAAUUACCCAUCUGACG